rnacentral:rRNA from 1 species
UAGGGAAUCUUCGGCAAUGGGGGGAACCCUGACCGAGCAACGCCGCGUGAGUGAAGAAGGUUUUCGGAUCGUAAAGCUCUGUUGUUAAGGAAGAACGAGUGUGAGAAUGGAAAGUUCAUGCUGUGACGGUACUUAACCAGAAAGGGACGGCUAACUACGUGCCAGCAGCCGCGGUAAUACGUAGGUCCCGAGCGUUGUCCGGAUUUAUUGGGCGUAAAGCGAGCGCAGGCGGUUAGAAAAGUCUGAAGUGAAAGGCAGUGGCACAACCAUUGUAGGCUUUGGAAAAUGUUUAACUUGAGUGCAGAAGGGGAGAGUGGAAUUCCAUGUGUAGCGGUGAAAUGCGUAGAUAUAUAGAGGAACACCGGUGGCGAAAGCGGCUCUCUGGUCUGUAACUGACGCUGAGGCUCGAAAGCGUGGGGAGCGAACAGG